UAUCUCUGUAGAGUCUGCAUAUCAAUAAGCGGAGGAAAAGAAACUAACAAGGAUUCCCUUAGUAACGGCGAGUGAAGCGGGAAGAGCUCAAAUUUGAAAUCUUCAAGGUUUUACCUUGACGAAUUGUAGUUUAAAGAAGUGUUUUCUGUUGAGUUUCGGUAAAAGUUCUUUGGAAUAGGACAUCAUAGAGGGUGAGAAUCCCGUAUUUGACCAUUACUUUCAGCUGUGUGAUACACUUUCAAAGAGUCGGAUUGUUUGGGAAUGCAGUCCAAAAUGGGUGGUAAAUUUCAUCUAAAGCUAAAUAUUGGCGAGAGACCGAUAGCGAACAAGUACCGUGAGGGAAAGAUGAAAAGAACUUUGAAAAGAGAGUUAAACAGUACGUGAAAUUGUCAAAAGGGAAGCGUUUGACACCAGUGUUGUUUUCUCGAAAAUCAAUUAAAAAUGGCUUGAUUUUGUGUUGUAUUGACCUUAAAAGCUUUCUUCACUUUUUUCAUGUCUUUUUUAAUGCACUUUUCGUUUAACAAGUCAACAUCAGUUUCUUUUGUUGUAAAAAGGUCAUUGGAAGGUGGCUUUCUUUUCGGAGAAAGUGUUUAUAGCCUUUGACUUCUGCAAUCGGAGAGACUGAGGUCUGCAGCGUAGAUCCUUCUGGAUUAGAUUCAUUUGUGCUAAGUUACAACCGUUUAUAGACAACUUGUUGACUAUAUUCGAUCCUGUAGCUUACUCGCUUAUGUAAUUUUACCUACGCUUAGGAUGUUGAUCUGUAGUGCGUGCGC
rnacentral:rRNA from 1 species